rnacentral:rRNA from 1 species
AGAGUUUGAUCCUGGCUCAGAACGAACGCUGGCGGCGUGCUUAACACAUGCAAGUCGAGUGCGCGGUUGUAGCAAUACAACUGGCGCACGGCGCACGGGUGCGUAACACGUGGGCAAUCUGCCCUUCGAUGGGGAAUAACUCCGGGAAACCGAAGCUAAUUCCGCAUAACAUUCCUUGGACUUCGGUUCGAGGACUCAAAGCCGUAAGGCGUCGAAGGAGGAGCCCGCGCACGAUUAGCUAGUUGGUAGGGUAACGGCCUACCAAGGCUUUGAUCGUUAGCUGGUCUGAGAGGAUGGCCAGCCACACUGGAACUGAGACACGGUCCAGACUCCUACGGGAGGCAGCAGUGGGGAAUCUUGCGCAAUGGGCGAAAGCCUGACGCAGCGACGCCGCGUGGGGGAUGAAGCUUCUCGGAGUGUAAACCCCUUUCGACCCGGACGAAUGUCCCGCAAGGGAUUGACGGUACGGGUAUAAGAAGCCCCGGCUAACUACGUGCCAGCAGCCGCGGUAAGACGUAGGGGGCCAGCGUUGCUCGGAAUUACUGGGCGUAAAGGGUUCGUAGGCGGUGCGGCAAGUCGGAAGUGAAAUCUCUGGGCUUAACUCAGAGGCUGCUCCCGAAACUGCCGUGCUUGAGUGCGGGAGAGGCGAGUGGAAUUACAGGUGUAGCGGUGAAAUGCGUAGAUAUCUGUAGGAACACCCGUGGCGAAGGCGGCUCGCUGGACCGCAACUGACGCUGAGGAACGAAAGCUAGGGGAGCAAACAGGAUUAGAUACCCUGGUAGUCCUAGCCCUAAACAAUCAGGACUUGGGGUGCAUCCCGUUGGGGGUGCGUCCCGUAGCUAACGCGUUAAGUCCUGCGCCUGGGGAGCACGGUCGCA